rnacentral:rRNA from 1 species
UACGAAGGGGGCUAGCGUUGCUCGGAAUCACUGGGCAUAAAGGGUGCGUAGGCGGGUCUUUAAGUCAGGGGUGAAAUCCUGGAGCUCAACUCCAGAACUGCCUUUGAUACUGAGGAUCUUGAGUCCGGGAGAGGUGAGUGGAACUGCGAGUGUAGAGGUGAAAUUCGUAGAUAUUCGCAAGAACACCAGUGGCGAAGGCGGCUCACUGGCCCGGUACUGACGCUGAGAUACGAAAGCGUGGGGAGCAAACAGG